GAUUUUUCCCACAGGAUGCUGAAAUCCGUUGUGCAGAGGGCACCUGAGAAGGAAAUUCGGAUCCCUUUUUUCUUUGUUUUGAAUGGCUAACUGGCUGCCAGAGAUGGGGAUCAGAGCAGAACUGUGUCAGAAUUGCUACUCGGUAAGGGUAGCAGCCAUUUAAACAAGGUGUUUGGGAUGAUCAAAACAACAGAGCAUAAUUUCCUGCAUUACCAGUAGAGCAACCAGGAAAUUCACACUGCUCUACUAUCAGGGAGCCCAGAGGUCCUGGCAGCAUUUGCAUAGGUGGUUUAUCAUGGAUUUUUCCCUCUCUAUUUGAAGGAAAGUUAGAGGCAUUAAUUUUGGUCCUUUUUUAGCCAUGCAGUUUCUGUACUGAGCUCAGAAUUACUCUCACAGGUAUACUCUAAUUUGUUGCAGCAGUCAGAAAAAACAAACCAGUUAUUUCCUUAUGAACUCCUCACAGCUGUUCUCAUAACUUUUGUUCAGAUUGUAAAAAAAAAUAUGAUUUAAUUGACUCUAUGUAUAUAGUCUGUUGUUUCAACAGAGGCACCGUUCCACCUAGUGUGUAUGAGCACAGCCAGAGAGGCACAUUUGUUUUCCAGAGAGCAAUUCAGCUGGGCCUUGAUUCUUCAUUUCUGUGUGUUGGAUUCAAUCACCGAAGCAGCGCAAAGCAGGAUUACAAUUGUACCAAAUCAAAGCGGACAGACUUCAUGUUAAAAUUUGCUGCUGCAAAUGGCUGCAUGCAGCCCACAGGAAGGCAGGUCCACUUGUUGGUUUUCCUGAGGGCCCUACAGAGAGAAACAAUUUUUGAUCAUUUCUUGCAUACAUCAAACUGUACCCUUGGAAGAUAUUCAGGACCAUAGGAGUCAUUGUGGCUUUUGUGUUGCCUUUGAUAGGGUUGUAUUUGACCCCUAGGAGCUUCUUUGUGAAGCACAGGAGGGCAGAGCUGUCAGGACUGGGGUGUCCAGCAGAUCCUGGAUGUGGACUGAUGAAUAAUGUGAGAACUGCGUUCUUUUCCACACUGUGGUCACUUUCUGGAACACAUGCAAAUCUUUGUCCUAGGAUGCAUGAGAUGUCCUACUUCUAGUUUUAGCAUUACUGCUGGCAGUUAGAUUCACCAAACUUUGUUCAACAUGUCACUACACAGCUCACACCGCUGGAAUGAUUUCAUGUUAAUGCAGCUUUCAGAGUCUGCCGAAGGCAGCCAGCCAGAUCAACCCCAUGUGAGCAUAACCACAGCACCAAAGCCAGAGGGAUGCACCAUGUUAGAACAGCUUGUGGGGAACAAAGAGACCUUUUUGAUCAUUUCUCUGUUUAGCGCAGUAUUCUUCUUCUAACUUCUGUUGAAAAAAUAACACCAUAGUGCUCCACAUUUAUGGCAUCUUACAUAUUAACAGAUCGAGUGAAUUUUAUGACCGAAUAGUUUUUGAGUGUGUGUUUGUUUUUUGCCUACCAGAGCAUUCACACUGAUUUAUUUUUCAAUUCUGCACAAUAAAAAUUUUUGAAAACCCU
rnacentral:lncRNA from 7 species